ensembl:rRNA 5S_rRNA 5S ribosomal RNA
GCUUACGGCCAUACCAACCUGGCUAUGCCCGAUCUCGUCUGAUCUCAGAAGCUAAGCAGGUUUGGGCCUGGUUAGUACUUGGAUGGGAGAACCCCUGGGAAUACCAGGUGCUGUAAGCU